rnacentral:rRNA from 1 species
UCCUCCGGGAGGGGGAGGUCGCGCUCCGACACCCGAUAGCGAACGGUCGAAGUCCCUUCCCGGGACCUCAAGGACUCAUGUCCUCAUAAUCAUCCCGGGGAGACUCCGAAAAACCGUAUUCCCCUCGCCGAAACAUCUAUCGAGGGAGGGAUCGGUCGCCCUUCCUUCCGAGAAACGACCAUAACCUACUCCACUAC